rnacentral:sRNA from 2 species
CCAAUAGCGUAUAUUAAAGUUGUUGCAGUUAAAAAGCUCGUAGUUGAAUUUCGGGAUCAAAUUGUCGGUCGUGCCUCGGUACGCACUGGUAUUAUUGGUUCCUACCUUCUGAAGAACCGCGAUGUCAUUAAUUUGGUGUCGUGGGGAAUCAGGACUGUUACUUUGAAAAAAUUAGAGUGUUUAAAGCAGGCUUACGCUUGAAUACAUUAGCAUGGAAUAAUGAAAUAGGACGUUUGAUUCUAUUUUGUUGGUUUCUAGGAUUGACGUAAUGAUUAAUAGGGAUAGUUGGGGGCAUUAGUAUUCAAUUGUCAGAGGUGAAAUUCUUGGAUUUAUUGAAGACUAACUACUGCGAAAGCAUUUGCCAAGGAUGUUUUCAUUAAUCAAGAACGAAAGUUAGGGGAUCGAAGACGAUCAGAUACCGUCGUAGUCUUAACCAUAAACUAUGCCGACUAGGGAUCGGAUGAUGUUAAUUUUUUAAUGACUCAUUCGGCGCCUUACG